GAGGUGCAACGUUAUCCGGAUUUAUUGGGUUUAAAGGGUGCGUAGGCGGUAGUUUAAGUCAGUGGUGAAAUCCUGCAGCUCAACUGUAGAACCGCCAUUGAAACUGAAUUACUUGAGUAAUCUUGAGGUAGGCGGAAUGUGUAGUGUAGCGGUGAAAUGCUUAGAUAUUACACAGAACACCGAUUGCGAAGGCAGCUUACUAAGGGUUUACUGACGCUGAUGCACGAAAGCGUGGGGAUCAAACAGGAUUAGAUACCCUGGUAGUCCACGCCGUAAACGAUGAUGACUCGCUGUUGGCGAUAUACAGUCCNCCGCUUAGCGAAAGCGUUAAGUCAUCCACCUGAGGAGUACGCUCGCAAGAAUGAAACUCAAAGGAAUUGACGGGGGCCCGCACAAGCGGANGAACAUGUGGUUUAAUUCGAUGAUACGCGAAGAACCUUACCUGGGCUUAAAUGUGCGCUGACAGCCGGAGAAAUUUGGCAUUCCGCAAGGACAGCGUUACAAGGUGCUGCAUGGUUGUCCUCACUCCUGCCGUGAAGUGUUCGGUUUAAUUCCCUAACGAGCGCCA
rnacentral:rRNA from 1 species